CCAGUUCCCAGCCUUCUUCCACUUGGACAGAGCCAUGCCAUUAAGGUCUAGUGGAGCCUAAAUAAUUGGAAGUGGCCAAGGCAGGCUCUUAGUGUCUAAGGGCCCUGUUUUGCACACUCACUGCCCUGUAAUAUAGCCUCUUGUAAACAGAAUUUAAGCCAUGUAUCGGGAUAUACUGUGAUUGCA